rnacentral:rRNA from 1 species
UAACGAAUCUUCCGCAAUGCACGAAAGUGUGACGGAGCGACGCCGCGUGUAGGAUGAAGCCCUUCGGGGUGUAAACUACUGUCAGGGGUUAGAAAGUUCUGAUCAACCCCAGAGGAAGGCACGGCUAACUCUGUGCCAGCAGCCGCGGUAAGACAGAGGUGCCAAGCGUUAGGCGGAAUCACUGGGCUUAAAGCGUGUGUAGGCGGAUGCCUAAGUAUCUUGUGAAAUCCCACGGCUCAACCGUGGAACUGCUUGAUAUACUGGGUGUCUUGAGCCAUCUAGGGGCUACCGGAACAAAUGGUGGAGCGGUGAAAUGCGUAGAUAUCAUUUGGAACGCCAAUGGUGAAAACAGGUAGCUGGGGAUGUGCUGACGCUGAGACACGAAAGCCAGGGGAGCAAACGGGAUUAGAUACCCCCGUAGUCC